rnacentral:rRNA from 1 species
AUAGAACGCUGGCGGCAGGCUUAACACAUGCAAGUCGAGCGGGGUGAUGGUGCUUGCACUAUCACUUAGCGGCGGACGGGUGAGUAAUGCUUAGGAAUCUGCCUAUUAGUGGGGGACAACAUCUCGAAAGGGAUGCUAAUACCGCAUACGUCCUACGGGAGAAAGAAGGGGAUCACUUGUGACCUCGCGCUAAUAGAUGUGCCAAAGGCGGAUUAGCUAGUUGGUGGGGUAAAGGCCUACCAAGGCGACGAUCUGUAGCGGGUCUGAGAGGAUGAUCCGCCACACUGGGACUGAGACACGGCCCAGACUCCUACGGGAGGCAGCAGUGGGGAAUAUUGGACAAUGGGGGGAACCCUGAUCCAGCCAUGCCGCGUGUGUGAAGAAGGCCUUAUGGUUGUAAAGCACUUUAAGCGAGGAGGAGGCUCUUUUGGUUAAUACCCAAGAUGAGUGGACGUUACUCGCAGAAUAAGCACCGGCUAACUCUGUGCCAGCCGCCGCAGUAA